rnacentral:rRNA from 1 species
UACGUAGGGGGCCAGCGUUGCUCGGAAUUACUGGGCGUAAAGGGUUCGUAGGCGGUGCGGCAAGUCGGGAGUGAAAUCUCUGGGCUUAACUCAGGGGCUGCUUCCGAAACUGCCGUGCUUGAGUGCGGGAGAGGCGAGUGGAAUUGCAGGUGUAGCGGUGAAAUGCGUAGAUAUCUGCAGGAACACCCGUGGCGAAGGCGGCUCGCUGGACCGCAACUGACGCUGAGGAACGAAAGCUAGGGGAGCAAACAGG